AAUAACAAAGAAUAAAGAACGACUAAUGCUGAAGAAUAGCAAAUAGUAAAGAAUGGCUAAAAGUAAAGAACGGCUAAUGCUAAAGAAUUGCAGGUAGUAAAGAGUGUUUAGUAAUAAAGAAUGAAUGACAAAUGAUAUAGAAUAGAAUUAAGUGAUCUACUUGCAUGAGUUGCAUGAUUUGCAUAUUGCAUAUUGUGAGGCAUGAACAUGAUAAAUGUCAGUUGCAUAAAUUAUAUAUAUAUAUAUCUGUGGAUAUUUGUUGGACUAAUAUGUUUGCAGUUCCUCCGUUGGACCUGGUGGGUCGAGCUUUU
rnacentral:lncRNA from 1 species